GACGAACGCUGGCGGCGUGCCUAAUACAUGCAAGUAGAACGCUGAAGCUUGGUGCUUGCACCGAGCGGAUGAGUUGCGAACGGGUGAGUAACGCGUAGGUAACCUGCCUGGUAGCGGGGGAUAACUAUUGGAAACGAUAGCUAAUACCGCAUAAGAGUAGAUGUUGCAUGACAUUUGCUUAAAAGGUGCAAUUGCAUCACUACCAGAUGGACCUGCGUUGUAUUAGCUAGUUGGUGAGGUAACGGCUCACCAAGGCAACGAUACAUAGCCGACCUGAGAGGGUGAUCGGCCACACUGGGACUGAGACACGGCCCAGACUCCUACGGGAGGCAGCAGUAGGGAAUCUUCGGCAAUGGACGGAAGUCUGACCGAGCAACGCCGCGUGAGUGAAGAAGGUUUUCGGAUCGUAAAGCUCUGUUGUAAGAGAAGAACGAGUGUGAGAGUGGAAAGUUCACACUGUGACGGUAGCUGACCAGAAAGGGACGGCUAACUACGUG
rnacentral:rRNA from 1 species